GAUGAAGAACGCAGCGAAAUGCGAUAAGUAAUGUGAAUUGCAGAAUUCAGUGAAUCAUCGAAUCUUUGAACGCACCUUGCGCUCCCUGGUAUUCCGGGGAGCACGCCUGUUCGAGUGUCGCGAUAUUCUUCAAGCCUUGGAUGGAUUUUUUUUUUGUCUGUCCUUGGGCCUGGUUGUUGGGCUCUGCCGUGUCCUUCAUUGGGACGGCUGGCCUUAAAAGCAUUAGCCGAUCCUCGUGUGGUACUGGUUCUACUCAGCGUGAUAACAAUCUGAUCGUUGAGGACAUCUUCUGGAUGGCCAGUCAUCAUUUGGGUUGCUUCUAAACCGGUUUCGCAGAUUGCUCAAUCUGUGUGCCACUUUUCAGCUUUGACCUCGAAUCAGGUGGGACUACCCGCUGAACUUCAGCAUAUCAAUAAGCGGAGGA
rnacentral:misc_RNA from 1 species